rnacentral:rRNA from 1 species
CCCUUAGAUGUCCUGGGCUGCACGCGCGCUACACUGAUGUGUCCAGUAAGCACCUAACCUCUUCCGAAAGGAACGGGUAACCUUUGCAAAGCACAUCGUGAUGGGGAUAGAUUAUUGCAAUUAUUAGUCUUGAACGAGGAAUUCCUAGUAAGCACAAGUCAUCAGCUUGUGUUGAUUACGUCCCUGCCCUUUGUACACACCGCCCGUCGCUCCUACCGAUUGAAUGGUCCGGUGAAGCCUCGGGAUUGUGGCCAGUUCACUUUAUUGGGAGUUGGCUGUGAGAACUUGUCUAAACCUUAUCAUUUAGAGGAAGGUGAAGUCGUAACA